UACGUAGGGUCCAAGCGUUAUCCGGAAUCACUGGGCGUAAAGCGUGCGUAGGCGGGAGUUUGCGUGAGAUGCGAAAUCGUGUGGCUCAACCAUACGACUGUAUCUCAUACGGGACACCUAGAGGACGGCAGAGGCAAGUGGAAUUACGGGUGUAGCAGUGAAAUGCGUAGAGAUCCGUAGGAACACCAAUGGCGAAGGCAGCUUGCUGGGCCGACCCUGACGCUAAGGGCACGAAAGCGUGGGGAGCGAACAGG
rnacentral:rRNA from 1 species